UACGGAGGGUGCAAGCGUUAUCCGGAUUCACUGGGUUUAAAGGGUGCGUAGGUGGGUUGGUAAGUCAGUGGUGAAAUCUCCGAGCUUAACUUGGAAACUGCCAUUGAUACUAUCAGUCUUGAAUACCGUGGAGGUCAGCGGAAUAUGUCAUGUAGCGGUGAAAUGCUUAGAUAUGACAUAGAACACCAAUUGCGAAGGCAGCUCACUACACAAUCAUUGACGCUGAGGCACGAAAGCGUGGGGAUCAAACAGG
rnacentral:rRNA from 1 species